UAAAGAUUCAUCGCUGAUAGAUAGGCAUGCGUUCCAUUAGGCAGUUGGCGGGGUAACGGCCCACCAAACCGACGAUGGAUAGGGGUUCUGAGAGGAAGGUCCCCCACAUUGGUACUGAGACACGGACCAAACUCCUACGGGAGGCAGCAGUGAGGAAUAUUGGUCAAUGGGCGUAAGCCUGAACCAGCCAAGUCGCGUGAGGGAUGAAGGUUCUAUGGAUCGUAAACCUCUUUUAUAAGGGAAUAAAGUGUGGGACGUGUCCUGUUUUGUAUGUACCUCAUGAAUAAGGAUCGGCUAACUCCGUGCCAGCAGCCGCGGUAAUACGGAGGAUCCGAGCGUUAUCCGGAUUUAUUGGGUUUAAAGGGUGCGUAGGCGGCCUUUUAAGUCAGCGGUGAAAGUCUGUGGCUCAACCAUAGAAUUGCCGUUGAAACUGGGAGGCUUGAGUAUGUUUGAGGCAGGCGGAAUGCGUGGUGUAGCGGUGAAAUGCUUAGAUAUCACGCAGAACCCCGAUUGCGAAGGCAGCCUGCCAAGCCAUGACUGACGCUGAUGCACGAAAGCGUGGGGAUCAAACAGGAUUAGAUACCCUGGUAGUCCACGCAGUAAACGAUGAUCACUAGCUGUUUGCGAUACAGUGUAA
rnacentral:rRNA from 1 species